rnacentral:rRNA from 1 species
UGCAAGGUCGAACGCAAUCUUUAGCCACUGAGUGCUUGCACUCAACAGUUAAAGUGCGAGUGGCGAACGGGUGAGUAACACGUGGGCAAUCUGCCCAAAAGUGGGGGAUAACACUUGGAAACAGGUGCUAAUACCGCAUCAACCGGCUGACCGCAUGGUCGGCCGGGCAAAGACGGCGUCAGCUGUCGCUUUUGGAUGAGCCCGCGGCGUAUUAACUAGUUGGUAAGGUAACGGCUUACCAAGGUGAUGAUACGUAGCCGAACUGAGAGGUUGAUCGGCCACAUUGGGACUGAGACACGGCCCAAACUCCUACGGGAGGCAGCAGUAGGGAAUCUUCCACAAUGGACGCAAGUCUGAUGGAGCAACGCCGCGUGUAUGAAGAAGGUCUUCGGAUCGUAAAAUACUGUUGUCAGAGAAGAACACGUGAUAGAGUAACUGCUAUGGCGCUGACGGUAUCUGACCAGCAAGUCACGGCUAACUAC